rnacentral:rRNA from 1 species
GUAGUCAUAUGCUUGUCUCAAAGAUUAAGCCAUGCAUGUCUAAGUAUAAGCAAAUUAUACCGUGAAACUGCGAAUGGCUCAUUAAAUCAGUUAUCGUUUAUUUGAUAGUAUCUUACUACUUGGAUAACCGUGGUAAUUCUAGAGCUAAUACAUGCUAAAAGCCCUGACGUCAGAAGGGGUGUAUUUAUUAGAUUAAAAACCAAUGCCCUUCGGGGCUCGAUGGUGAUUCAUAAUAACUUAACGAAUCGCAUGGCCUUGUGCCGGCGAUGGUUCAUUCAAAUUUCUGCCCUAUCAACUUUCGAUGGUAGUAUAUGGGACUACCAUGGUUUCAACGGGUAACGGGGAAU